rnacentral:rRNA from 1 species
UGUCCUUUUGAAUAUAAUUUAAGGUCUAAUCUGCCCACUGAGGAAUUAAAUGGCCGCAGUAUUUUGACUGUGCAAAGGUAGCAUAAUAAUUAGUUUCUUAAUUAGAAGCUGGAAUGAAAGAUUGAAUGAGAAAAUGACUGUCUCAAUAUAAUUUAAUUAGAAUUUUAUUUUUAAGUUAAAAAGCUUAAAUGUUAUUAAAAGACGAGAAGACCCUAUAGAGUUUAAUUUAAUUAUUUUAUAAAAAAAAAUAGAUUUAAAAAAUUUUAUAUAGUAAUUGAAUUUUGUUGGGGUGACAAAAAAAUUUAAUUAACUUUUUUUAUAUUUUAACAUUAAUUAAUGAUUAGUUGAUCCAAAAGUUUUGAUUAUAAGAUAAAAUUACCUUAGGGAUAACAGCGUAAUUUUUUUUGAGAGUUCAUAUCGAAAAAAAAGAUUGCGACCUCGAUGUUGGAUUAAAGUUUAAUUUUGGUGUAGAAGCUAAAAAUAUUAGGUCUGUUCGACCUUUAAAACUUU